rnacentral:rRNA from 1 species
UACGUAGGGGGCAAGCGUUGUCCGGAUUUAUUGGGCGUAAAGAGCGUGUAGGCGGCUAGGUAGGUCCGUUGUGAAAACUCGAGGCUCAACCUCGAGCUGUCGAUGGAAACCAUCUAGCUAGAGUCCGGAAGAGGAGAGUGGAAUUCCUGGUGUAGCGGUGAAAUGCGCAGAUAUCAGGAGGAACACCAACGGCGAAGGCAGCUCGCUGGGACGGUACUGACGCUGAGGCGCGAAAGCGUGGGGAGCGAACAGG